rnacentral:lncRNA from 1 species
CGGCGCGCGCGUCACGGAGCCCGGCCUGGCUGACGGGGCCGCUGACGCGCUUGGCCGCCGGGCCGAGUCCGCGGGGCUGCUCCCCGGGUGCCGGCGACAAUGGGCUUCUGUGUGUGCAGCUGCCGCCGCCACCAGGGGCCGGGGGAGGGAGGCGGGUGGCCGCUCCCUGACCUCCCUCCCUCCCGGCCACGACCCCCUGAAAGAAAGUGGGGGAUCUAUCCCGCCCCGGGCAGCCACUUUGUGCGCCCCGGGGAGCGGGACCCACACCGGGCGCGCCCAGCUGGGGACGCAGUGACGGAGGGGCCGGCAGCGCCGGGCAGGAAGCCAAUCUGGCUGCCGGGAACCGGGAAAGCUUGCUCUGGAGCCCCUCGCACGUGGCAGGCAGGCCGAGAACUCGUAGUGCCUUCUAGGAAAUUGCAAUCGGUUUUGUAAUGCACUUUUGCUAAUUGGGAGUUCAAAAUUAAACUUUAAUAAAGCA